AGAGACAGCAGUCGCCGCGGUAAUGCGUAGGUGGCGAGCGUUGUCCGGAAUUAUUGGGCGUAAAGGGAGCGCAGGCGGACAUAUAUGUCCAUCUUAAAAGUGCGGGGCUCAACCCCGUGAGGGGAUGGAAACUGUAUGCCUUGAGUGCAGGAGAGGAAAGCGGAAUUCCCAGUGUAGCGGUGAAAUGCGUAGAUAUUGGGAGGAACACCAGUGGCGAAGGCGGCUUUUUGGCCUGUAACUGACACUGAGGCGCGAAAGCGUGGGGAGCAAACAGGGUUAGAUACCCCCGUAGUCCCUGUCUCUUAUACA
rnacentral:rRNA from 1 species